rnacentral:rRNA from 1 species
GAACGCUGGCGGCGUGCCUAACACAUGCAAGUCGAGCGAGAAAGUCUCCUUCGGGAGAUGAGUAAAGCGGCGAACGGGUGAGUAACACGUGAGCGAUCUGCCCGGCGGCGGGGGAUAACUCAGGGAAACCUGAGCUAAUACCGCAUACAGCACUGGCUUGGAAGCCGGAUGUGAAAGUUGGCCUCUCGAAGAAGCUGACACCGUCGGAUGAGCUCGCGGCCUAUCAGCUCGUUGGUGGGGUAACGGCCUACCAAGGCGAUGACGGGUAGCUGGCGUGAGAGCGUGGCCAGCCACACUGGGACUGAGACACGGCCCAGACUCCUACGGGAGGCAGCAGUGGGGAAUAUUGCGCAAUGGGCGAAAGCCUGACGCAGCGACGCCGCGUGGGGGAGGAAGGCCCCAGGGUUGUAAACCCCUGUCAGGUGGGACGAACCACGGAUCGGUCAAUACCCGGUCCGCCUGACGGUACCACCAGAGGAAGCUCCGGCUAACUCCGUG